GACGAACGCUGGCGGCGUGCUUAACACAUGCAAGUCGAACGGAAAGGCCCUGCUUUUGUGGGGUGCUCGAGUGGCGAACGGGUGAGUAACACGUGAGUAACCUGCCCUUGACUUUGGGAUAACUUCAGGAAACUGGGGCUAAUACCGGAUAGGAGCUCCUACUGCAUGGUGGGGGUUGGAAAGUUUCGGCGGUUGGGGAUGGACUCGCGGCUUAUCAGCUUGUUGGUGGGGUAGUGGCUUACCAAGGCUUUGACGGGUAGCCGGCCUGAGAGGGUGACCGGCCAUUGGGACUGAGAUACGGCCCAGACUCCUACGGGAGGCAGCAGUGGGGAAUAUUGCACAAUGGGCGGAAGCCUGAUGCAGCAACGCCGCGUGCGGGAUGACGGCCUUCGGGUUGUAAACCGCUUUCGCCUGUGACGAAGCGUGAGUGACGGUAAUGGGUAAAGAAGCACCGGCUAACUACGUG
rnacentral:rRNA from 1 species